rnacentral:lncRNA from 1 species
AGUGUAUAUAUGUGUUUAUUUUACGAAAGAAAAAUAUAUAUAAAUGGGUAAUAUGUGUAUGCACAUGAUUAUAUGCUUCUCGAUUUUGUUUUUAUAAAGAAGGGAAUGAUGAAUUCUGCAUGCAGAGAGGGUCGCAUAUAUAUAUAUAAAAGUGUAAUGAGAAUUGUAUUUUAUGUUGUGAUGUGCCCGGUGAAGCUCCUGGAAGUGUGGUGGAAGUAGCACUGGUACUUGUCCG